rnacentral:tRNA from 1 species
GGUUGUGGCUCAGUGGUAGAGCACUUGCCUAGUAAGUGCGAGGCACUGGGUUUGAUCCUCAGUGCCA